rnacentral:tRNA from 1 species
GGGGGCGUAAGCCAUGAAACGAGUUCGGCAUAGCCAGACAAGGCAUUGAUUUCUAGACUUAAAAUCCCUCGGGCUUGCCCGUGCGGGUUCGACCCCCGCCGUCCGCACCA